CUUCAAUCACUAGUUUUAGUCCUGCCUUGUUGAGUAAGCCUGCUGAAAUGAGAUUUCUGCGAAGGGUUGGAACAAACAAAACAUUAGACAAUUCCAAAUUAUUUCCAGAACUCAGUUUUAAAGUUACUUUCCCUUUUUCAACUACUGCUGCAAUGCUGGAAUUUCCCAUGAAGACUUGAUCUCCCUGUCCUGCAUCUUCAAACUCAGAAAACAUUCCUCUUAUGCCACAUAAGUGUCGUGAUGCUCCAGAAUCAAUAACCCAUUCUGUGUCGUUCUCUAUCAUGUUGACUUCAGAAACGACAGCAGAAAAGGUAAUGAGCUCUCCUUUUCCCCCCGUAGGUUCUACAAUGUUGACUUGAGUUCUGAACUCUCCCUCUCGCUUGUGACCUUGAUCCUUCCUUUGGGUGCAUUGAUAUGCCUUGUGUCCAUUUUUUUCGCAGACAUAGCAGGCUCCCUUCUGGUACCUCUGAGGGUUUCCUGGUUUCUUGAAGUCCACAUGCUUGUCCAGUAUCUUCCUCCCCUGCCAAGAGGGUUUUCUGGUCAUUCUUCCUUUAUGCCUGAAGUCAGGUUCAGCUAGAUUGGCGUUGACUGAAUGGGAGGACCUGAUUGAUAGCUUGUCUUUGGCUCUGUUGGCAGCUUCAAUUUUUAUAUGGCCAAUGAGUUCUUCCAUCGUCAUAUCUUUCUUCUUGUGCUUUAGAUGAUGUUUGUAGUCUGUCCAGGAGUCAGGUAGUUUCUCCACCAGAGAGUUGGCCUGGAACAUGUCACAGAUGUUCAUGCCAUCGAUGAGCACAUCUGCAGUGAGGCUCUCAUACUGGUGGAUUUGAUCCAUAAUGGGAAGAUUGUCCACCAUUUUGAAGUUUAACCAGUUCCCUACAGCGUAUCUCUUUCUACCAGCAUCAUCUCCUCCAUACUUUUUUAGCAAAGUUUCCCAGAUGGUUCUUGCAGACUUGGUGUGAGCCACAAUGUCAAAGAUUGGAUUGCUCAGGUGACUGAGAAUGUGUAUUCUGGCCGUUCUGUUGUCCCUUUCAUACUUUUGAGCUUCUGACAGUGAGAGAGUCUCCGUGGUGGCUGCAGGGAUGGAGGAGUCCUUGUUUCCUGUGUCCAUAGAUGCUUCUGAUGACGAAGCAGGUAUCCCGCUUGCUGCAGUAGGAGGAUCCCUGAGUAGUACAUAAUCGAUCUCCAGGUGUUCCAGGAAGAUCAGUACUCUGAGUGACCACCUCUUGUAAUUGUUUCCAUCCAGUGCUUCCAGUUUACUCACGUAGAGUAUUACUCAACCUGUAAAACUCAACAAACAGUGAAAUGAAAUGGAAAAGUGAUCGUGGUUAUACCACUGCCCUUAAAGCUAAUUCCCGAUUCACACACUAAUCAAUGUAUCAGGAAAGAACUUCCAAGGUAAUCACUGCUAAAGUUGUUCGGAGAGGAGUGUUUCUUAUGCUGCCAGUUCCACCAACUCAGGGACUGCUUAGGGAUCUAAAUAUAUCAGUCCCUAAUCCCUAACGUGGCCUGCAACGUCGUGCUUCGCUCCACUCCUUCUGUUGAUGGAAAAUCGGAGUCCUUGUUGAGUGAAUCAAGGAGGAAGAUCAGCAAGAGAUCAUCAUCUCUUCCUCCCCUUCCAACGUUAACUAAUUCUGUUAAAUGAGGAUGAGUUGCAGUAAGUGGCAACGUUGUCGUUUCAUCCUUGGUUUAAGUUGGUUCACUCAAGUGGUUGAACCGUCAUAUUCCUAACAACCGCACUUAAACUCGACGAGUACAAGCCAUUGAAGAUCCUUUAGCAUUCCAAUGGUGCCCUUGAUCUCCCCGAAGAUAGACCACUUGAGAAGCAACCACUUUAGCUCUUGUAACUCACCAAUGUUUAAUACCUCUUGAUCAUUGAAAAAGUGUCCAAGUAUGAAGAUCUCUAGGCUCCUUGGCAAGUAAGGGAUUGUCUUCAUAUCCCAACAACCAGAAAGAUCCAUAUAUUUCAGCUUACCUGCUGUCUAUUAAACCGGAGACCUUUAGUGUGUUAUAAUUAACAUGGUCCCACUGUUUUUUAUUCAUUAGAAUGAAAGAACUUUCACAAAUUAAUUACCUUGAUUUGACUCCAACCUCCCCAAUCGUCGUUCAUGAAGUUAUCCUCGAGAUCGAGGAUUACUACAUUUUUCAUAUCGAAAUUUUUGAACGGGCGAUCCUGUAUAUUUGCUUGUUGAUUCAGUCGAAGCCACCUCAUGUUUGGGAGAAGAUUGUUGAAGUCUCCUGUAAGCGUUGACGAUCCAACAUCCAAAUAUUUUAAUUCUGGCAAAUUCGAGAAAUAUUCACUUCUGAGUUCUUCCACGGGAAUGGAGGCUGAGGAUGAAGUGCCCACUCUUAUUGCUUUAACUUUAUCUGAUCCCUGUACAACAUAUUCAGUUAUAACUAAUACAAUAUACAAUGAGACACUUUUAAUGUGUUACAAAAAUGUACAUAGGAAUAAAAUCAUAUAUACCUUCUUGUUGGACAAUGUGUCGAUGGCUUCUUCUGCGGCCCAUAUUCUACUCCUCAUCCACGGACGGUUUAUAUCUUCCUGACGUACAAUUUCUCUACCCAUAUCUCUAAGCUGGUCAUGCAUUUGAAACUGGUAGUCGUCUCCCACUUUGAUCAUUGAUCUUUGAACUAGAAUCUUAAUAUUAGUGACGGGAUAAAGUUUGCAAUCGUUCCACAGGUAAGAAGACAUGUCUAUGCUUUUCCCGAUGAAGAAACACGCAACGUCCAAAAAUAUUUGUUGUGCCUGGUACGGAAGCGCAUCGUAACUUAUCUUCAACCUUUCCAUGACUUGAACCUCGACCGUUCCCUGCAACUGUAACAACUUCUCUUCCCAAAAAUCUAUAUCUUCUCUAUGCAGAAGCGACCCCAAAACCUUCAGUGUUAAUGGAAGUCCUCCUGUAGUCAACACAAUUUUGUUCGCUACAGUUUCAUAAUCCGAGGGAGGAGAGUCCAUAUGGAACGCAUGCCUGCAUAAGAGCUGCAACGAAUGUUGAUGACUCAUUGCUCCGACUUCAUACAAGACGCAUCCACUUUCGUUUAUAGUACUCAAGACUUUAAUGUUUCUGGAAGUAAACAGAAAUGUACUCCCGAAAAUAAAUAGCUAUUUUUACUCAACUAUACUGCAAUAAUAUCAAAUAGACGAUAUUUAUGUAACUUUUUUAUUAUCUUCUCAUAGUAAGUAAACGAGUAUAAAUACCUAUUUUCCUCGAAAAUAUAUGUUUAUAUACGGAUUUAAUGUCGAAUGAAAGAGAUAAUAAAGCAACGUAUAUAAAAAGAGUGACAAAGGGUUAAUGCAACAUACUCUUCCUUGUUUUGGAGGUGCCAUCCUUUCAAAGUUCCGACCUCGUUCAAAGCAUCUUUCCAACUCUGUAUGAUGUUUUCAUCAACUUUAUUCCUUUUAUGUUGUUUGAAUGCACUUUGGUAUGGCCCGGUUUGAUGGCGUACAUCUCGAGGAUCCAUCAGAUAGAAAAUUGGAAGUAUGAUAUGCCCUUUACCCUGCUUACGUUGCUUGAUUAUCUCAACAAGCUCGUUGAGACACCAUUUACUAUGAGCGUAACCCUGGGACAAUAUCGGGACGUGGAUUUUCGACUGACUGAUGGCUCGAAAAAGGUUUGUCCCGAUCCCUUCUCCCUUACGCAGUUCAUCAUCAUCUCUGAACGUGCGGAUCUUCAAGUUAAGGAGGAAGCGAUAGAGAAUGUCAGUGACAUAAUAACGCGUAUCUGGACCUCUAAAACUCAAAAACACCUCGUAGUCCCCCGUUGGAAGGGGCACGGAAUCAGAAUCUCCAGAGGCAGGAACAGAGGAAGAUAUGGUAGACGAAGUUGAUUGUUGAGAAGUACUAUCAUUGGAGUCCCCAUAUGCUCCCCUUCUUCCCCCAAAAAAGUAGUUGUAAACAAGUAUAAUCCCAAGAACUAUCCCAAUUAUUAUUAUGUAAAUCAUUCCAAGCCCUGCAUAUAUAUCAAAACAAUUGUUCAAAAUCUUUGAUCAUCACUAUUCAAAACCAAAAUUCUCAAUAAAAUGAAAUAUUAUUUUUGAUCAAGUAGACAUUUUAUUGCAAACAGAACCAGUAGUUCUAAAACGAUAUAAGAAAACUCGAUUUCAUUAUCUACACAAACCCAAAUCCAAAGAAUUGAUAGAUGAAGCUAAGCAAGAGCUAAAGGAAAUCGAGAAGAAACAUAUCAAAACAAAGCAAGUCAAACAAACGAAGAACUCACUUACACUACAAAAAGAAAGAGAAGCGUUACAGGAGGAGGAAGAAAAGAAAUGAUAUGGAAUGAAGAAAAGAAGCUUGCUCUGCUUUUUUAAAUAGGCUUAACUAUAACAAUGUAAUUACAAAACAAUCCAAACGAAUCUAAAAUAAUGUCACUCACAAAAAUAUAUUCCUACCAAUAAUAAAAUAUUAACCAAAAUUUUUUAUCGCUCACAUAUCCACCCAAUUAUUAAAAGAGUAACUUUCAAUUAACAAAUGAAGAACUCACUUACACUACAAAGAAAGAGAAACGUUACAGGAGGAAGAAAAGAAGCUUGCUCUGCUUUUUUAAAUAGAAAAGUGUGAAGGAGGCAAAUUAAAGGAAACCAGAUGGGAAGCCAACCAAUUGAACUAUGCCAUUCAAUUCCCAUCUUCUCCCAAUUUUUUUAAAUGGUUGGGACUAACCCAAUAAACAGAGCAACAAUCGCAGUUCCUGCUAGGAAAUACAUGAAGUGACAGAACUAAUGAAUAAGCAUAAUGAACCAGAACCAAAGUGAUGAAACACAGACGUCGAGAGUAUAAAAGUAAACACAUACCUCCGACUGUGUCGUUGGUGAUGUUGUCGGUCGGAUUUUGUUGUUGUUUGUGAGCUAUAUAUGAUUUUUGGAGAAUUAUUUUGGAGAGAGUUAGAAGAGUCGUCAGAGCUGUGAUAUUUGAAGAGCGAGGCAAGAACAAAAGGAAAGAGAGGGAAAAGGAAAGGUUUCUUGAUAAUGUUCUUGUACAGCAAAAGCUAAUAAUUGAAUAGCUGUAAAGGCAAAAAGAUAGUCACUGUACAGAAUUCUCUAGAGAAAUAGAGACAAAGUUGUCAGUUUACUUUUCGGUGUAAUGAGAGAAAGCCAAGGAAUAAAGUAAAAGGAUUUUUGAAACUGCUAUAGCAAAGAAAAGAAUUGCUUACAAGUUGCUCACAAUUGAGUACUGUAUAUGUUUCUCCAACCCAUCCUCACAGCCAGCCUCCUAGAUACCCUAUGUACAUGUUGAAAAUGAUUACAGAAUUAACAAAUAUUUGCUACAUCUAAAUAAUAGUUUCAAAAUGAAUUAUAUAAUAAGCUAAAUAACAGAAUUACAUAUGCCUUUUUCGAUUUGAUGUGCCUCCCUUUUAAAGAUCCAACAUCAUUCGGAACAUCUUUCCAACUUUGCGUAGUCUCGUCAUCGAAUUUAUUAACACGGUAAAAUUUUCUGUGAUGGAAAAAGAUAGUUAUUGCACAACACGGUGUAACACAAGUAAAAUUCUCUAGAGAAAUAAUGGUACUAAUUCUUCUCUAGAGAAAUAACGGUGCAUGGCGGGAUUAGAUUUGACGAUAUCUGAUCGGUACCCUUAUACGACGUCAUUUAGCAAUGUGUUGCAGCGGCUGUGUUUAAGAGUUUGGUUUGGAAAUUUAGUUUUAUUCUACCGUUGCAGUGUUCAUGCAAUCUGGAAAAUUGGGAUGUCCUUAUCAUUUACAAUUGUAGAGUAAGUGUUUAAGUAGAUUUGAAAUUUUUCGAACAAUCUAUCCAUAGGUUUCGGCUGUACAUUAUUAUUUAGUUUAGAAUUUUGGUAUUACUUAACUAAACGGGUAAAUUCGAAACCCGAUCAUGAAUGAAUAUGAUCGUCAUAUUUUCCCCAUUUAAGAAAACAUCUAAAUAUAGAUAAAACCCGAUAACUAGGAUGGCUGAAAAUAGAUAUAUCAAACCCAUCUCAUACUAACAUAGUACCAUCCUUGGCGGCAUGUGUAGAUUAUAAAUGAUUUUUGAACUUUAUACCCCACACCUAACUCACUGAUAGGCCGUUAUUUGGUAGUCAAUUUGACCCCAUCUUAAUUGAUUUUUGUCUCGGUUAGAUCGAUUCUUGGUUCCUUUGUGGUGAUUGGUUAAUAAAAGUAAGGGAUUCGUGCUUUGUUCUCUCGAACAGACCGUUUCGGUCUGCUCCGCCUAAUUUCUUAAGUUUCAUUGAGGUUUCCGGUAUUCAUUAGAAAAAGGACGUUUAUACGAAGCCAACGAGAUCAACCGAGAAUCAAACGGAGGUUAGACGAGCGAGAUACGAGCAAUUGAAGAAUUCGGACCCAGUCUAAGUCAAGACCUACAAGGCGUGUGAUCUCUGGCAAGGCCACACGUCGUAUGGCCUUUACAAACAGACAUAUUUAAACCUGAUUUUGAGGAGAGAGGAGACACUUCUUGCGUCUCCAAUUGAUCACCUUCAUCCAUUCUCUCCCAACUAAACCCUAAUCCAAAAAUCUUCAUCCACUCAUCACCAAUUGGAGGAUUUAGAAUUGUGUUAAUUGUUAAUUCAAAAUUGAAGUAAGGUGUGUGUGGACCAAGCUAAAUCAUAAUUCAACCUUAAGUGUGAGAAUUCUCUUAGUGACAUUUCAUCAAACACUUCGAAUGCAUUCUUUUAAUCACUUAGGUAGUGACGGUGAUUGGAAUGUUUGGGGUGUCAAAUAAUGACUUAGCAUCCUUAUCAAGUGUUUUUUAUGCCGUUGAGGGUCUUUUAGAACCUAUGCAUUUUAUCGAACACUUGAUAUUCAUUACAAAUUGACUUGAUCACUUGUCAAUUGGUAAUGGUAAUCCAUUUCAAAUCUUUAACUUGGGCUCCGAGGAAUGUUUGGAGAAUUUUUGAACCUUAACUCAUGUCGAAUGUGUCCAAUCUGUCUAGAGAGGCAGAUUUGAGUGCAAAUCCAACCCUGGAAGUCUAUCAACCUUUCUCAUACUUGUGUUCUUCCUCAUCACUUUCUUCUCGCUUAGUAGAUUGAUUGUUUAGAAUUGCCUCCCUUAGUUGUAUCCUGUACUCUAAAAUUUAGAAACACCUCAUACUUUCCGCUGGAAGUGAUCCCGAGUUUGAAUCUAUACAUAUUGCAGAAAUAAUCUCAAGGAAGGGGAAAGAAACUGGAAGAACAAAGUUGCCGAAGGAUGAUGAUGAUGACGACAACAACGACGAGUUUAAUGAUGAUGAUGACGACAAGUACGAUAAUGGAGACGACGAUGAUGAUGACGACGACAAUAAUGGCGAACGCCGGCGAGGGGAGGAGGACAUGACGCCGACUGUUUGGACUCUAUUAUUUGUUCAAACGUUCUAUUUUAAGAUUUACAGCAAACAACUAUCACGGUGAUGUAGGUAUUGCUCUUAUUUGUUUAUUAACAUCUAAUGUAGGUACUUCUCUUGUCACUUUCACGUGGAAUUUCAACCUUUAGAAGAGCCCAAACACCAGUUUGUCGGAGGUUGUCAUUGCGGAUAACCAACGCCUAUACGAAGAAGAUGAUAGUUCGGGUUAAAAUGAAUGGUCUAAGAUGAAGACACGUAGACUGAGGUAACGAUUACUUCGUAUAGGUGGAGGCACCAUUUGUAGACAACAACGUCUUUUAUAGACACCAUUUUUAUGCAUAUAGUGUUAUUAUUGCCAUAUCAUAUGCACAAGUCUGCAGAGCAUUUUUUACGGGUACAACAUGUUAACAUCAAUCCUUGGGGAAAGGACAACUUCCAACGGAGUUGCUUU
rnacentral:lncRNA from 1 species